AGCCUUUCGGAGCUGUGCGGCAUUCUGAGCAGGAAUGGCAAUGUGGACCUCUGUGAUGGGACAUCUUGUGGGAUCUCACAGCCAGUUCUGUGGCAAAGGAGGAUGAAGGUUUAUGAGGACUCGUCAGGAAGCUGGAUAACAGAACGAGCGCAAUGUGCUAGAAGACCAGAAAAUGAAAUGGUGGAGUUUGAGGCUGGAUAGACAGUUUGAAAGGUACAAAUGAUGGUUUGAAUAAAGGUAUAACGCACGGGUCGCCUCAAGUGAAGGCACUGCAAACAAAAUGGUAAGUCUUUGAAAUGUGCAUGUAUUACUUUCAACCCCUUCCAAACAAGCCGAUACCAUGAUGAUAACAUAGUUCAGCAGACUUAACUCUGAUGAACAAUCAUGUCUUUCGCUCCUAUCUGAUGUAUCUGGCUGUAAUGUUUUGUCCCUCUUAAAGAGUUUUCCUUGAAUAAUAGGAAAUACAAGAUAAGGGUCCAAGUGAUAAGGCCAAAGCCUGAUGCUAAGGUGGCAUGUGCUGUGCCACUGACUUAACCCAGUAGGACAAUUUUAUUGUGAAAAAUACAUAAGUUCCCUAGGUAUGACGAUUGCAACCAUAAGUCUCAGGCCUCUUGGCAAGAGAAUUGAUGUGAGCCCAUGGAGACUAGUGAAGACAACUGAACACUGAGAGAAUAGUGUGAAAUAAAAUGAAGAUAAAUAACUGCACUAAUUAUUUUUAAUUUUCAAACAGAUUGGUCAUUCUGAAUUUCCGGUCCUUCAUUCUGAAUUUCAAAGGCUCCUGUGACAAGUGGACAUGCAGUGACUGUACCUUUGUUUCUGAGGUGCCUGGAUGGAGGCUCAAAUAGAAGAUGGUGUCAGAUAUAUUGUGUUGUCAAAAUUUUACCAUUAAAGUGUAUUAUAA
ensembl:processed_transcript Gas5 growth arrest specific 5